rnacentral:rRNA from 1 species
AGCGAACGCUGGCGGCAGGCCUAACACAUGCAAGUCGAACGAAGUCUUCGGACUUAGUGGCGGACGGGUGAGUAACACGUGGGAACGUACCUUUUGGUUCGGAACAACUCAGGGAAACUUGAGCUAAUACCGGAUGAGCCCUUAGGGGGAAAGAUUUAUCGCCGAAAGAGCGGCCCGCGUUAGAUUAGCUAGUUGGUGAGGUAAAGGCUCACCAAGGCUACGAUCUAUAGCUGGUCUGAGAGGAUGAUCAGCCACACUGGGACUGAGACACGGCCCAGACUCCUACGGGAGGCAGCAGUGGGGAAUCCUGCGCAAUGGGCGAAAGCCUGACGCAGCCAUGCCGCGUGAAUGAUGAAGGUCUUAGGAUUGUAAAAUUCUUUUACCAGGGACGAUAAUGACGGUACCCGGAGAAGAAGCCCCGGCUAACUUCGUGCCAGCCGCCGCGGUAAGAC